AGUUCCUCUCCAUAAACGUUCCCAAGCCCAUACCCCACCCCAUGCCAGCCCCCAACGAACCCUAGAAUCUCAUUACCCUCAAACCUCCCCGUAAAAUCCUAUAUUCCCCUUCCCCAAAUUCAUCCAAUUGAGCAACUUCCACCGGCGAUUUCGUCUCUUCGACCUAUAAAUCACUAAUCCAAAUCCGACGACUCCUUUUAAUCUUUUUCGUCUUCUCUACCUCUUUCAUGAUGCUACUACCAUCCCCUUAAUUACAAUAACAAGGCUGUGAUUUAGCCAGAAAUAGGGCGGAUAGUGGAUAAGAUUUGUUGGCUCGACUGCUAUAUAGUCAGUCGUAAGUAUAUUUUUUCGAGUUGAUUGCUUAAAUUUAUGCAAUUUGGAGAAGUGCUAUUUCCUUGUGGAUGUGAUUGUACUUUUUCGAUGUGUGUUGGUUAUUUCAAUUUGACUUGCUUUUUGGGUUUUUUUGUUGCUUUCUUUGCUUCAGUGUUUGAGCGACUCUAAUUUUUAUCUCCAUACAUUUUUUUGAGGCUCUUUAUCCUGUAAAUUAAGUCAGUUCAUGUUUUAAUUUCUGGGCAUAUAAUAGCAAAGUUCUCUAAUUGGAAUUUGCAAGAGCUUGCUUUGUUAACUGAUCUUGGCACCACUUUUAUGUUUGUUAUCGUUUCAAAAGAUAAAAAGGAUUCUUUAUCAAUUGCUCAUAUCUGUUUAGUGUUAAAAAUAAUCAUGGAUUUUACUGGUAAAUAUAUAUAGACUUGGACAUGCAUGAAAUUUCACAUUGAUUGUCCACUCAGUCGUAUGCCUUUCAGUUUGGUAAUUGUAUUUUUACAAAUGAUUGUAAAUAAAUCUCCUUGUAGUCUUAAUUUUUGAAAGAAAAAUACAUAUUCCGUGGAACAUCCUCUGUACAAUAGACUUAAGUAUCUUCUCUACAAUUGAGUUGUGCUUCUAUUGACUGAGAACUGAAUAAAUCAGUCUCUGCAUAUAUAUUUUAAGGUUGAAUCUCUAACAACAUGAGAAUGGUGAUUGAGUAUAAGGUGUGUGAGCCCUUAAUACCUUCGUACUAUUCUGUAUGGAUCAGACAGGGAUGCUUCAGAUGUCACUGCUACCAAGGUAACUUGAUAGUAAAAGACAAUUGAAGUGUAGUUACUUUAACUAUUUUUGAUUCUUUCUCUUCUAAUAUCAUGCUUCUUGGACUCAAAAUCAAACAUUGCUUAGUAUUACGUGAUAUAGAGCUUAAAAUUACAAUCAAAUUCUAACUUAGAGGGGCUUUUAAGAGCAUUUAGUUACCACCAGGACAUUUAAAGAUAAAGGGCAACUCUUUUUUCCCUAUAAUAAUUGAUGCCAUGGUAUGCGCACAUCCUGUAAAUACCAAAUUAAGUUACUAGCUCUAGAAAGGGGUGAAUUUUUGCUUAUGUUGUAGGUGUCUGCGAGGAGAAGCCAGAAGCUAUCUGACAAGAUACAGAAACUAGUUUCUCCUUUAUGGCAAGAUAAUCAAUUACUAGAAGCUAUAUUUUAAUAAUCAUUCUGUUUACUAACUAGUUUCACACUUUAUAUUUAAGUAUGUAAUAGUUAAUAUCUAAAUAAGGUUUGACUCAAGUGCAGAUGGGCACACUGUUAGUACUGCAUGAAGCUGCAGUAUCUGGCAAGGCUCUUCAUGGUCAAAUACAAGUUUAAAAAUCUCAUCUGAUGUGUUGCUAAUACAGUUUGCAUAUAGACGGCCAAAAGGAGUCACUCGUAAAUUCAGCCUAGCACUGCUCGUCCCAGGUUAUCUAAAUUGCUUGUCCAGGGACAAAGGUUCGUCGAAAAGGAAAAUGGAUGUUGGCCAAGGAGGAAUCCAUAAACAGUUGAUUUUGUUUUCCAUGUGUUAUGCACAAUUGAAUGUAUUAUAGAGUGGUGUAUACUUUAUAGAAUAGAUGGUAAUGAAAAGUUCAUGUCAUUUUUUUCAAUUGUA